UUACGGCCACAGCAGGUUGAAACACCGGUUCCCGUACGACCACCGGAGUUAAGUAGUGUCGAGCCUGGUCAGUACCUAGAUGGGUGACCACUUCGGAGUACCAGGUGCUAUA